rnacentral:misc_RNA from 1 species
UAGGGUAUUUAUAGGGUUUUGGGAAAGAGGUGUGAUAGGGUUUGGAGUCCUAUUGUGAUAAAAUUUAGAUAACUUAAACAACUAGGGUUGCAGAAUUUGGGUGAGACUGGGAUACGGGUGAGGUGUUCUAAUCAAUAGGAGGAGAGGGAAAUGGAGUAGCACCAAUAGGGAGUGAGGAAGAGGUGUGGUAGGGUUUGAAGUCCUAGUGUGAUAAGGUUUAGAUAACUUAAACAACUGGGAUCGAGGAAUUUGGGUGAGACUGAGAUGUAGGUGAGGUGUUCUAACAAAUAGGAAGAGAGGGAAAGAGGGUGGCACCAAUAGGGAGUGAGAAAGAGAGUGGGGCCAAAGGAGAAGAGAGAGAGUUUGUAUGAGAGAGGGGUAGAGAAAAAUAUAUUUUUUUAUUUUAAUUUCCAAAAAAUAAAUUAAAUUGGUCAUAUUUAAAAUUCUUACCUAGGCUUUCUUAGACCCAUGGAACCAAUUAAACUUAAUUAGGUAUAUUUAAAAACUACUCAUAUUAAAUUUAAACAAAAUAAAAUUUUAUUUAAAUUUAAUUAAAUUAAUUUCCCCAAAACUUUAUUAUUAUUUUUAUUUUUUCAAGAUCAUGCCACGGAA